GCUGGGUGUGGUGGUGUAUGUCUGUAAUCCCAGCAGCUCGGGAGGCUGAGGCAGGAGGAUUGCGAGUUCAAAGCCAGCCUCAGCAAAAGCAAGGUGCUCAGCAGCUCAGUGAGACCCUGUCUCUA
rnacentral:sRNA from 1 species